UACAGAGGGUGCAAGCGUUGUUCGGAAUUACUGGGCGUAAAGCGUGCGCAGGCGGUUGUGCAGACAGAUGUGAAAUCCCCGGGCUCAACCUGGGAACUGCAUUUGUGACUGUAGAGCUGGAGUACGGUAGAGGGGGAUGGAAUUCCGCGUGUAGCAGUGAAAUGCGUAGAUAUGCGGAGGAACACCGAUGGCGAAGGCAAUCCCCUGGACCUGUACUGACGCUCAUGCACGAAAGCGUGGGGAGCGAACAGG
rnacentral:rRNA from 1 species